UAAACAUCGAAAAGUGAGCACAGAAUCCUAAAGUCCUCACAUGCCAGGAAGAAAGCGAAAGCAAUUCAGACAGGGACAGCUCCCGGCUCCCGACCAAGCAAUAAUAUUGUAAUGAUCAAGGGGAGCAUGUGGUUUUUUUUAAGUAUUUCCUGAGAGUACAUCUGAACAAAUCUCAUUUGAGUGACUGUAGAUCUCACUGAGUGUUCAGAAGGUUGAUUCCUUCAGCUCUGUGUCAUUUGCAACAACAACAAAAAAACCAUCAUCUAUAUAUCUUCUCCAUCAGUAGAAAAUCCGUCUUCAAUAGAACUUUGUGCAAGACAACCACCAUGAUGCUCAUAAACAACAAGACAAUGGACAUAGUGGUAGCAUAGGUUUUUAUACUUCUCAGACAACUGUUGGAUGGGAUGUUUUUGGAGGAUUUAUGAAAGACAUAAAAUGACUCAGGAUGAGAUGGCAAAGAGAGACGAUCCCCUACUUACCAAUGAAAUCAGAUUUUCUGAAGUACGGAAGCAUUUCUAAACAGUCUGCGGCU